rnacentral:lncRNA from 10 species
GGGUGGCUGCAUUUGCCAUCCAAUAUCCUAGUUGGAAUCGGGAGACCUUGCAUCAAGCCAGGACACAGGACCGCUGUUGGAUGCCAUGGUCUGAGCAGCAAUGUGGCCCUCAUCUGAGGUGUGUGCUGGGUCUGCCUCUGCACCAGCUAGGUGUCCUGGCCCAGAAGUUGAGAAGAGAUGGUCCCUACUCUUCUGGGUGUACGAAGCAAUCUAAACAUGACGGCCAGACUCUCCAGCCACCUUAGUGAUGCUUGUUUUAUGGCCUCGGACCAAAAUGGUCAUGAGAACACGGAAGGAGGGCACGCCCAGGCUUCUUUCUUCGUCAAGCCUGCCCGGGCAAGGGCUCCUGCUAAAAUAUUUUAGCGACCAACCACACAUCGCAAUACUAGUGGGGUGGGGCAGCCCGCACCUGGUGACAGGUGGCCUCACUCAUCCUUCUGUGGAAGGCGCAGGGGCCAGGCCGGAAAAGACCCUGAGGCUGGACCUGGUCGUAUCUGCGUCCCUGCAGGAACCCACUGUCGCUGCCCCUGCACGACGCCCGCCAGCCCACGAUGGCAGCAACAGGUGAUGGGCCCGUGCAGGUGGGAAACCGAUUUUCCUCUCAGCCGCUCGCCCUCCGGAGGCAGCUGGCCCAAAAGAGGGGCAUCGGGCGUCCUCCUCCACACAGCCUUAGAGGGGGAGGUCGGCACCAGCAUCUUUCCCACGCUCCUGGCAGAUGCGCCCACGGCUUCUACCCGGGAUGCCCGAGCGUCAGUCGGGCCAGCGCCAGCCGCGCGCGCCGGAAGCGUUUGCUCGUGCAGAUCCCCGGCGCGGAAGCCCGACUACGAAGCUGCGGCAUCGCAG